rnacentral:tRNA from 1 species
UCUAAUAUGGCAGAUAAGUGCACUAGAUUUAAGCUCUAUUCAUAAAGAAUACCUUUUAUUAGAA